CCCCAAGCACCUCUGGCCGGCGGCACUGGAAGGGGAGUGUCGAGGUUGUACCGUCUCGUUACAGUCGCAGUGCGGUGCGACUCGAUCCAGUCCCAGGAUCCCGAGAUGUCCCGGGUAGAAGGAGACUCCGUGACCCUCCGCUGCUCCUACAGCACCAGCGAACAGUAUGUCUUCCUGUACUGGUAUCGGCAGUAUCCGAACCGAGCCCCGCAGUACAUCCUGUACAGAGGAGCCAGGUCAAGCAGCUCUUACACUCACACCGCAGAUUUCGCCAAGAAUCGCUUCUCUUCUCAUGCUGACCGCAGUACGACCGUGUUGAGCAUCACCGCCCUGGGCCGGGCAGACACCGCCGUGUAUUACUGCGCCCUGCAGUUGGCACCGUGUGACAGUGCCAUAAGAGACCUAUACAAAAACCCUCGGCGCCUUAGAGCAGCAGAAGUGACAGGCAUCAGAGCCACAGGCAUCGCCAUAAGAAAGGCUUUAAGAUAUAAAGUCUCUGGAAGCUGAGCAACGCCUUUUUCUCAUCGUCCCACACAUCACCCUUCAGCCCCAAAUGAAGUCCUUCGUCAGCUACAUUAAAAGGUCUCCCCAGAAAAAUACCGAAGACAGGGCCUUAAACUCAGAAACCUCUUCAGUAUUUUUCCUCGAACUCUUAGGGACGAGAAGGGCUGUAAUCUACACUCAUGGUCAAUGUUGGGAUUAUGUAGAAGUGUAGACUUCCAGGGGGAAUCAUUAAACUCACAUUUCUGGUGGGAUGACGACAAUAAACGGGAGCACGGCAGUGACAGCAGCGU